rnacentral:lncRNA from 10 species
GUCAGGGAAGUGGGGGAAAGCCAGCAGUUACAGGCCUCACCCAGCUCCCACACAACCCAAAAGACCAGUCUCACUCCCACCAUGUCCCCCCAAACAGCACCAAGUUUGUUUAUAGGCAGUGGGCAGGAAGGGCUGAGAACUUGCCCCAGGCUACCAGACUCCCACUUAUGAGAACAAGUAGGGCUUUCACGCCUAUCGGCCUGUGGAGUCUGCACACCAGAUUCAGGCCCUCCCUUGAGUUCUGGCCAGGAGACUUCCUGUUCAGUUGGAAUUGUUACAAGGUUCAGCUGGGGGUUUCCUUCUCCCUGUGGUCUUUUCCCAGUAUUUCUGGCAGCCCUCCCCAAGAACACCCAUGAGACAACUCUGAAAUAGCUUUCUGAGGGUGGAAAACCCACAGGCUUUUCCUGCUGCUUCCUCUACCCCUAUAUUUUGCUUGGCUCUCUAAAUUGACUCAGCUCCAGAUAAGGUCAGAUCCUUCUCCCAUGAUCUAGACCUUCAGGUGCCCCAGUGAGGGUGUGUGUUCAGUGACAGACAAUCCACCUUUCCCACUUUCACAGCUUGGGCACUCACAAUAUUUGGACUGUCUCUUGGGUUCUGCAGGAGCAACCUCCUUCCUUCAGAGGGUUUGUGGGUUCUCUCGGCUUUCCUGGUUUAUUCCUGCAUUAGUUCUGAAGCAAAGGGUGAAGAUGCGAGUGUUGAACCUUUGAAAUUUUUUUCAAAGGUCCACACAGUGCUCUGUCCAAGUGCGAGCUGCAAUCUAGUCUUGCCUUCCGUCUGCCACUUUUCCCCCUCUUUUUUUUUUCUUUUAGGCUACGUUCUUUAUUGGUCACCCUCACCGCAAGAAUGUGAGAGAGGCACAGUCAUCCCUACUUUGUAGAUGGGAAACUGAGGCUCUGUGAGGUUAAGUCACUUGCUCAUUAAGUGGACGGAUGGGGCCACACUCAGAACUGGGAUCCUAUCCCCCAGUCCAAGCCUUCACUACCACACCAAACCAUUCCAGUAUUUUGUUGAUGCUUCAAAUAAAAUAUGAUCUGUGUAUGAAUAAAAAGAUUGGAAGGGGCUGGGUGCGGUGGCUCAUGCCUGUAAUCCCAGCACUUUGGGAGGCCAAGGCAGGUGGAUCACUUGAGGCCAGGAGUUCUAGACCAGCCUGGACAACAUGUUGAAACCCCGUCUCUACUAAAAAUAUAAAAAUUAGCCUGACAGGGUGGCGGGUGCCUGUAAUUUCAGCUACUUGGGAUGCUGAGGCUGGAUAAUCCCUUGAACCUGGGAAGCAGAAGAGGUUGCAGUGAGCCAAGAUUGUGCCACUGCACUCCAGCUUAGGUGACGAAAAGAAAAUUGGAAGGAAAUUUCACAAACAGAGAAAGACCUUUCUUCUUACUACUUUGAGAAACCUGUGAAGUGAAAUCAUUGGCUCAUGAUCACCCAUGUCUCCCAAGACAUCUUCUUGCCUACUCUGCAGGAGGCUGGAGCCAUGUCUGAGCAGCAUGAGAAAGCCUACAUGAGGCCCCUGGCACAUCCGAGGUGUGUGGGGCACCGGGGCCCCCAGAAGAGGAGCCUUUGGAUCUGAUGGGAGCAAGGGCUCUACUGAGGCUGCCAGAGAUGCCCUCGGGAAGGGGCUGAGCACCCGGAGGGCUGUGUGUGCACACAUGACGUUAUCGGAGUCAGGAAGGCAGCCAGCCGCGAGGAGAUGGGAAACUGGUCCACGGCACCCGGGGAGACCUUCACAGCCCACGCAUUAGCCCUCGUCAGCCGGUGUCCCGGCGCUCCCCACAAACCCAGACUCUCUCCUUGGCUAACAAUGGCCUCCACCAGCCGACCUCUUUGAGCCUCUGUGUUCUCAUUUCUUCCAUCUGCCACACAUGAUGCCACAAGGUCCCUGCUCUGUCUCUCCAACAUGCCACUCAUUCCUGACUCACAGCCUUCAUGCUCACACCCCUCCCUUGUCCUAUCCUCACUCUCAGUCAUCCUGUUCAAUGCCUUCAUGGCACUUAUCAUAAGCUCUUACGAUCAUGUUUAUAGGUCUGGUUUCAUUGUUGCUGUAGGGGGGUCUGUCUCCCCCAUUUAGGCCUAACAGGCCAGGAAUCUUGUCUGUCUGAUUUACUCCUAACAUAUGUUAAGUGUUCAAUAAAUUUUUGCUGAAUAAAUGAAGGAAAAAAAUCAUGCAGCCUCUGAGAUGUCAUGGGAUGACAG